AUACAUGAAGCUGGAGAUAAAGAAGAACCAAAAAACUAUCGACCCAUAUCAGUAAUAAACAGCAUGGCUAAAAUUCUAGAAAAGCCUGGCAAAAGUACACAAGACGCUAUAAGCCGACUAAUAAUGGCAAGAAAGUAAUAGCAACUUACCUGGACCUCGCUAAAGCCUUCGUUACUAUACCACACGAACAACUACUAAACAAACUCGAGGCAAUAGGAAUACGAGGAACAGCGCAAAAAUGAUUUCGGAGCUACCUAACAAAGAGAAAGCAAAAAACAAAAA